GAUGAACGCUGGCGGCGUGCCUAACACAUGCAAGUCGAGCGGAAAUACCAAAUGUACUCGUACAGGCGGUAUUUUAGCGGCGGACGGGUGAGUAACACGUGAGCAACCUGCCUUUUGCUGGGGAAUAACAUUGGGAAACCAGUGCUAAUACCGCAUGACGUCAACGGGGGACAUCCCCUGAUGACCAAAGGAGAAAUCCGGCAGAAGAUGGGCUCGCGUCCGAUUAGUUAGUUGGCGGGGUAACGGCCCACCAAGACCGCGAUCGGUAGCCGAACUGAGAGGUUGAUCGGCCACAUUGGGACUGAGACACGGCCCAGACUCCUACGGGAGGCAGCAGUGGGGAAUAUUGGGCAAUGGGGGAAACCCUGACCCAGCAACGCCGCGUGAAGGACGAAGGCCUUCGGGUUGUAAACGUUCUUUUGAUCAGGGACGAAAGCAAUGACGGUACCUGAAGAACAAGCCACGGCUAACUACGUAGCCAGCAGCCGCGGUAAGCUAGUCUACG
rnacentral:rRNA from 1 species